rnacentral:rRNA from 1 species
CACAUCUAAGGAAGGCAGCAGGCGCGCAAAUUACCCAAUCCUGACUCAGGGAGGUAGUGACAAGAAAUAACAAUAAACCGGCUUAUGCCGGUUUAAUUGGAAUGAGUACAAUUUAAACAUCUUAACGAGGAACAAUUGGAGGGCAAGUCUGGUGCCAGCAGCCGCGGUAAUUCCAGCUCCAAUAGCGUAUACUAAAGUUGUUGCAGUUAAAAAGCUCGUAGUUGGAUUUCUGUGGGGACGGAGCGGCCGGCCGCAACUCGCGGUUCGAGCUAGCGCUUUCCCUACAUCCUGCCGCGAACCGUGCUACCAUUAGUUUGGUGGCGCCGGGGAUCGGCUCGAUUACUUUGAGAAAAAUAGAGUGUUCAAAGCAGGCCACAUGCCUUGAAUAAGUUAGCAUGGAAUAAUAACUAAGGACUUCGGUUCUAUUUUGUUGGUGUUCGGGACUGAAGUAAUGAUUGAUAGGGACAGUUGGGGCGGUCUGUAUUCCAAAGCGAGAGGUGAAAUUCUUAGACCUUCGGAAGACAAACAGCUGCGAAAGCGUUCCGCAAGGAUGUUCCCUUUAAUCAAGAACGAAAGUUGGGGGAUCGAAGACGAUCAGAUACCGUCGUAGUCUCAACUAUAAACUAUACCAGCUAGGGAUCGGCCAACGUUAUUUUAUACCGACUUGGUCGGCACCUUAUGAGAAAUCAAAGCAUCUGGGUUCCGGGGGGAGUAUGGUCGCAAGGCUGAAACUUAAAGGAAUUGACGGAAGGGCACCACCAGCCGUGGAGCCUGUGGCUUAAUUUGACUCAACACGGGAAAACUUACCAGGUCCAGACAUAGUAAGGAUUGACAGAUUGAUAGCUCUUUCUUGAUUCUGUGGGUGGUGGUGCAUGGCCGUUCUUAGUUGGUGGAGUGAUUUGUCUGGUUAAUUCCGUUAACGAACGAGACCCCAGCCUGCUAAAUAGCGCGCGUGAGCUUUGCUCGCGGCGAGCUUCUUAGAGGGACUAUGAUGCGCGAUAGCACAUGGAAGUUUGGGGCAAUAACAGGUCUGUGAUGCCCUUAGAUGUUCUGGGCCGCACACGGGCUACACUGGCGCCUGCAACGAGCAUAUCAGCUGGCCCGAGAGGGUCUUGGCUAAUCUUUUGAACCGGCGCCGUGCUUGGGAUUGACCUUUGCAAUUGUUGGUCAUGCAACGAGGAAUGCCUUGUAAACGCGAGUCAUCAGCUCGCAUUGAAUACGUCCCUGCCCUUUGUACACACCGCCCGUCGCUCCUACCGAUGAAUGUUCCGAUGAAAUUUUCGGAGAGUGCCUGUGAACUUGGCUCUGCCUUGCGAACGGGAAGCUCAAAGUCACUUAAAUCUGAACAUUUCGAGG